CCGGUAUCAGGAACGGUCCUUCGCAGUAGUCAAACGUCCUGAGGAUUACAAAAAAAAAAAACAACCCUUAAAGGAGCAGAAACGGGAGUCAUUUCCUCUCACGAUUUGCAGCUGUGCUUGGAACAGUGGAUUAUUUCCUCGUUUGAAAAACACCAGACAACUUCACACUCGGUACGAGGAAUUGCAGACAAAAAAGAGCUCCCGGGGGAUCAGAUUUAAGCGCACGCCCGCCCGUCUCUCUGGACGCCCCCCUCUGCUGCAGGGAACAGCCGCUUGGAGCGCUGCGGUCCCAUUGGCCGGAAGCAGCAGGAAACUCCACGCCUGACCUCGCCUCUCCUUGCAGGAACACUGACUGAAUCAGAGCGAUACUGAGGGGGUCCAACCCCCCACCAGCCCACAAACCCGGCUGCUACCGCCCCCCGCCUUCUCGGCCUAUGAGAGCUGGAGGGGAUCUGAGAGCAGCCGUCUGAUUGGACAACGUCGCCUUCCAUCACAGCUGACAGACUUGGACAACGCCUGUCUCCGAUAAUGUCCUGCUGAAAUCUGCAGGAGGACCUCUUUCACCGUCCCCACCCCUCCCCUUCACCCCCCACCCCCCCCGCCCGGCCCCUGGCCCC